rnacentral:rRNA from 1 species
UACAGAGGGGGCAAGCGUUGUUCGGAAUUACUGGGCGUAAAGGGCGCGUAGGCGGCCGACUAAGUCAGACGUGAAAUCCCCUGGCUCAACCAGGGAACUGCGUCUGAUACUGGAUGGCUUGAGUUCGGGAGAGGGAAGUGGAAUUCCAGGUGUAGCGGUGAAAUGCGUAGAUAUCUGGAGGAACACCGGUGGCGAAGGCGGCUUCCUGGACCGACACUGACGCUGAGGCGCGAAAGCCAGGGGAGCAAACAGG